AGGGCCAUUCUAUGGGGCCAUUCCAUAGGGCUACUUAAUGUGGCUAUUCUAUAGGGCCAUAUGUAUGGGGUUAUUCUAUAUGGCCAUUCUAUGGGGCAAUUCUAUGGGGCCACUCUAUAGGGCCAUUCUAUGGGGCCAUUCCAUAGGGCCAUUCUAUGGGGCCACUCUAUAGGGCCAUUCUAUGGGGCCAUUCUAUGGGGCCAUUCUAUGGGGUCAUUCUAUGGGGCCAUUCUAUGGGGCCAUUCCAUAGGGUCAUUCUAUGGGGUCAUUCUAUGGGGUCAUACCACAGGUCUAUGCUAUGGGGCCAUGCUAUGGGCUGGUGCUGUGGGGUCUGUGUGGGGCACUCUAUGGGUCUGUAUGGGGCCAUUUAUGGGUCCUGUAUGGGGCCUUCUAUGGGCCCACUCUAUGGGUCUGUAAUGGGGCCAUUCUAUGGGUCUGUAUGGGCCAUUCUAUGGGGCCAUUCUAUGGGUCUGUAUGGGGCCAUUCUAUGGGGCCAUUCUAUGGGUCUGUAUGGGGCCAUUCUAUGGGGUCUGUAUGGUGCCAUUCUAUGGGUCUGUAUGGGGCCAUUCUAUGGGUCUGUAUGGGGCCAUUCUAUGGGGUCUGUAUGGGGUAUCAAUGGGGUGGCACAAUGGGGAGGUUCUAUGGGGUGGCGCUAUGGGGUGGUGCUAUGUAUUGUCUCUAUGGGGUGGCCCUAUGGGCUGUCCCUAUGUGUUGGCCCUAUGGGGUGGUCCUAUGGGGUGAUGCUAUGGGGUGGCCCUAUGUGUUGGCCCUAUGGGGUGAUGCUAUGGGGUGGCCCUAUAGGUUGGCCCUAUGGGGUGGCCCUUUGGGUUGAUGCUAUGUAUUGUCCCUAUGGGGUGGCGCUAUGGGGUGGCCGUAUGGGUGGCCCUAUAUGUUGUCCCUAUGGGGUGCCGCUAUGGGUUGUCCCUAUGGGGUGGCCCUAUGGGUUGGCAAUAUGGGGUGGCACUAUGGGGUGACCCUAUAGGUUGCUGCUAUGGGGUGGCCCUAUGUGUUGUCUCUGUGGGGUGGCCCUAUGUGUUGUCUCUAUGGGUGGCACUAUGGGGUGACCCUAUAGGUUGCUGCUAUGUGUUGUCCCUAUGGGGUGGCCCUUUGGAGUGGCGCUAUGGGGUGGCCCUAUGUGUUGUCCCUAUGGGGUGUCCCUAUGGGGUGGCGCUAUGGGUUGGCCCUAUAGGUUGAUGCUAUGGGGCAGCCCUAUGUGCUGUCCCUAUGGGUGGCCCUAUGUAUUGUCCCUAUGGGGUGGCCCUAUGUGUUGUCCCUAUGGGGCGGCGCUAUGGGGUGUCCCUAUGGUUUGACCCUAUGUGUCAUCCCUAUGUGUUGUCCCUAUGGGCUGUCCCUAUGGGGUAUCCCUAUGGGGCAGCGCUAUGGGGCAGCGCUAUGGGGUGGCCCUAUGGGUUGAUGCUAUGGGAUGUCCCUAUGGGGCGGUUCUAUGGGGUGGUGCUAUGGGGUGUCCCUAUGGGCUGCCCCUAUGUGUUGGCCCUAUAGGUUGAUGCUAUGGGGCGGCCCUAUAUGUUGUCCCUAUGGGGUGUCCCUAUGUAUUGUCCCUAUGUGUUGUCCCUAUGGGGCGGUUCUAUGGGGUGGUGCUAUGGGGUGGCCCUAUGGGCUGCCCCUAUGUGUUGGCCCUAUGGGGUGAUGCUAUGGAUUGGCCCUAUAUAUUGUCCCUAUGGGGUGGCCCUAUAUGUUGUCCCUAUGGGGUGUCCCUAUGUGUUGUCCCUAUGUGCUGUCCCUAUGUGCUGUUCCUAUGGGGCGGCUCUAUGGGGUGGCGCUAUGGGGUGUCCCUAUGGUUUGGCUCUAUGGGGUGGCCCUAUGGUUUGGCCCUAUGUGCUGCCCCUAUGUGUUGUCCCUAUGUGCUGUCCCUAUGGGGCAGUUCUAUGGGGUGGUUCUAUAGGGCAGCGCUAUGGGGUGUCCCUAUGGUUUGGCUCUAUGGGGUGGCCCUAUGGGGUGGCGCUAUGGGGUGGC
rnacentral:lncRNA from 1 species